AGAGUUUGAUCCUGGCUCAGAUUGAACGCUGGCGGCAUGCCUUACACAUGCAAGUCGAACGGCAGCACGGACUUCGGUCUGGUGGCGAGUGGCGAACGGGUGAGUAAUACAUCGGAACGUGUCCUGGAGUGGGGGAUAGCCCGGCGAAAGCCGGAUUAAUACCGCAUACGCUCUGAGGAGGAAAGCGGGGGAUCUUUCGGGACCUCGCGCUCAAGGGGCGGCCGAUGGCAGAUUAGCUAGUUGGUGGGGUAAAGGCCUACCAAGGCGACGAUCUGUAGCUGGUCUGAGAGGACGACCAGCCACACUGGGACUGAGACACGGCCCAGACUCCUACGGGAGGCAGCAGUGGGGAAUUUUGGACAAUGGGCGCAAGCCUGAUCCAGCAAUGCCGCGUGUGUGAAGAAGGCCUUCGGGUUGUAUAGCACUUUUGUCCGGAAAGAAAACCUUUGCCCUAAUACGGUGGGGGGAUGACGGUACCGGAAGAAUAAGCACCGGCUAACUACGUGCCAGCAGCCGCGGUAAUACGUAGGGUGCAAGCGUUAAUCGGAAUUACUGGGCGUAAAGCGUGCGCAGGCGGUUCGUUAAGACAGAUGUGAAAUCCCCGGGCUUAACCUGGGAACUGCAUUUGUGACUGGCGGACUCGAGUAUGGCAGAGGGGGGUAGAAUUCCACGUGUAGCAGUGAAAUGCGUAGAGAUGUGGAGGAAUACCGAUGGCGAAGGCAGCCCCCUGGGCCAAUACUGACGCUCAUGCACGAAAGCGUGGGGAGCAAACAGGAUUAGAUACCCCAGUAGUCC
rnacentral:rRNA from 1 species